rnacentral:lncRNA from 1 species
CAAGCACCAAGCCAAUAUAAACAUUCAUGUUUUUAUCGCUUCUGUGCAAACAUCGUUUGUGACUCUUUCGAAUAAAAAUUGCCAUUACAAUCAACCAAUCACAGAACCUGUUAAGACUUAUUUGCGCUAUACUAUACUCAAAUUGUAAGCAGAUUGCAUCGUUCUAGGCAAAUGUAGCAUAUUGUAAGUUGGGCUUUAAAAUUAUGAUUACCUGCUGUGCCCUGUCCUACAACGAUGAUGGUGACUGGUUUGAUGAUGAGGACGAGGAC